GAUGAACGCUGGCGGCGUGCCUAAUACAUGCAAGUCGAGCGAACAGACGAGGAGCUUGCUCCUCUGACGUUAGCGGCGGACGGGUGAGUAACACGUGGAUAACCUACCUAUAAGACUGGGAUAACUUCGGGAAACCGGAGCUAAUACCGGAUAAUAUAUUGAACCGCAUGGUUCAAUAGUGAAAGACGGUUUUGCUGUCACUUAUAGAUGGAUCCGCGCCGCAUUAGCUAGUUGGUAAGGUAACGGCUUACCAAGGCAACGAUGCGUAGCCGACCUGAGAGGGUGAUCGGCCACACUGGAACUGCGACACGGUCCAGACUCCUACGGGAGGCAGCAGUAGGGAAUCUUCCGCAAUGGGCGAAAGCCUGACGGAGCAACGCCGCGUGAGUGAUGAAGGUCUUCGGAUCGUAAAACUCUGUUAUUAGGGAAGAACAAAUGUGUAAGUAACUAUGCACGUCUUGACGGUACCUACUCAGAAAGCCACGGCUAACUACGUG
rnacentral:rRNA from 1 species